rnacentral:rRNA from 1 species
UACGUAGGGGGCAAGCGUUGUCCGGAUUUAUUGGGCGUAAAGAGCGUGUAGGCGGCUAGAUAGGUCCGUUGUGAAAACUCGAGGCUCAACCUCGAGACGUCGAUGGAAACCAUCUGGCUAGAGUCCGGAAGAGGAGAGUGGAAUUCCUGGUGUAGCGGUGAAAUGCGCAGAUAUCAGGAAGAACACCAAUGGCGAAGGCAGCUCUCUGGGACGGUACUGACGCUGAGACGCGAAAGCGUGGGGAGCGAACAGG